AGUUAUCUACAAUCUAUUCUGAGCCUAAAAUGGGUGGAAAGGAGGGUAGUGAGAUUAUAAAAUCCCAGUGAGUAAACAAAUAUCAUUUAAAAAAUCUAAAGGCGAGUAAAAGGAGACUACUAAAACAUUUCAUCAAACUGUAAUUUAUCAUCUUUCAACUUAUUUCAACCAAUGAAAUCAAUUUAUUUAAAUCAAGUAAUCAGUAUAGCUUAUGAAUUUCUUAAAACCAUGGCUCGUGCCAAAAUUAUUCUCAUACUCAGUUAUCAGGGAUACCUUGGCCAAGGGCUAUCCCAAUUUGAGUCCGCCAAGGCUAUUAAUGUCACGACCCAAAUUUCGGGCCAUGACCGGCGCAAAGGUCCAAUGGACGUAAUCCACUAAACCCAAGCAAGCCUAUUGUUUAUCUUACUUAUAAUUCCAUCUAAUAUCACUAAGUCACAUUUCAUAACUUUGAAUCAAAAUAGUGAUAUACAUUGCCAACUCGUACUGGCAUUACUCCUUAAAAUUUACAUACAAUGUCUACAACAUGUAUUCUAAUAAUUUACAUUAAGUUCGUCUAUACAAAACAAAAUAACACUCGACUUCCAGCGGAGUGACUCGGAUGAAUAUACAGCUACCGAAUGCCGAGACACCUACCAAAAGAUGGACACAAGUCUACAAGGACACCUCGUCCUAGUUACCGGCUGCCUCGUGAUCUGAAAACAUGAAUUUGAAAAUGGUGAGUAUAAACCCAGUGAGUGAACAAGGAAGGGAACAAGCAACAACAACAAGGGAGAAUUUAAAAUCAUGAUGCACUUGUUUCAAAACAAUGCAAUUUAGUUCCAUUCAUAUUAAAAACCCCUCAUUUUAAACUUAACUCAUUUUGUCCUGAAUGUUAGAAGUCCAUGCUCAGAUAUGGUAGCAAAAAAGUGAAAAAUAGGGUAGCAAUUGGACAAGAUAAAAGACAAAACAGAAAGUUUUUCGCUGCAGCGAGAUUGGAUCUCGCUGCAGCGAAAUUUCUACCCAGAAACAGAAUGUUUCUCGUUGCAGCGAGAUUCAGGGAAAUUGCAACCCAGAAAACAGAAAGUUUCUCGCUGCAGCGAGAAGCUACAAUUUCAUUCUCGCUGCAGUGAAAAUGCAUUCUCGCUGCAUCAAGUUUUCGGUUAGUGUACCCCUCCAAACCUGAGAGUUUCUCGCUGCAGCGAAAUACAGGGCAUCAAUGCAAAAUUUACCUUUCUCCCAAAGGAAAAACCACCCUGCCAAAAGGUCCAAACCAACAUGAAAACACAUAACAAUUUCUCAAGGUUUAACAUGUCAAGUUUCACAUGCAUUACAACCAUAACCCAUUAUCCAUCAAUUUCCUAUAACACACAUAUUUACAUAUAUAUAUAUAUAUAUAUACGUAUAUACCCAUCAUCAUCAUCUCACCAACCCAUCAUCAUCAUCACCAGCUCAUCAUCAUCAUCACCAGCUCAUGCGCACUCCCUACUCGCACAUGGCUGGGUCAUCACCGGGUUAUGCGCACUCCCUACUCGCACAUAACCGGGUCAUCCUCGGCUUAUGCGCACUCCCUACUCGCACAUAGCCGAGUCAACAUAAUUACACAACAUUAUAUUCAAGCAUAUAUGUAUAUCAACAUAAUGCAGCCACAUAGAAAUCCAUAAUAACCACAUUUCAUAACAUAAACCUUUUCUCAAAAGCUUGUUCCCAAGGCAUUCAUUUUCAUGAAAAAUUGCAUAAAAUCAUUCAAACACUUUGUUCAAAACAGUCAUAUUCCCAAAACAAUUUUGAUAGGCAGUCCACUCACAGGUGUCGAAAAUCCGGAUUCCGGGUGAACUCUGACUAAUAGUCCUCAAGCGCAAUUCCUUUGCCUUUUCCGGACGUCUCACCACCUUGACAAAUAACAAAGUCGAGGAAUUUACUAUAUUGUCCCUAAAUUGAUAUAAAUUAAUUUAAAUUACUAAUGCUUGAUAUGUAAAUGCAAAAAUAUGUCCGAUUACCGCUUAAUCACGGUAUCGAUUAAAUUCGACCGAUCACCCGAUUAAUUGGCGAUUGUGUCCAAAUCACCUCCAAAUUAAUCCAUUUCUCCUCUAAUACCUUAAUUUACCACAUAACAUUUAAAUAAAGCCAAAUUCAGCAUUAGAACCCUCACAGUUCCUUAUAGAAAAAUUUGGUCAUUUGGUGCACUAGCAUCGAAUUUUUUUCUACAUAACCGUUUCACCUUAAUUCAUCAUUUUCCAAGCCAUUUUCCUUGAAAUAAAAACAAUCCCCCAUUGAUAUUCAGCCCUCAUGGUUCGACCAACAAGGAACCCUAGAGAAAUUGAAUAUUUCUUUUGUGUUUUUGUUCAUAACCAUGCUUAACUAUCCCUAAACACUAACAUAGUCUAAAAUCAAAUUAUUCCAACAACAAUUCCUCUUCCAUACCCAUUUUUCAGAAUUGAAUUCAUCAUGAUAACUCAAUAUUCAACCAUGGAAAUCAAGAACAAAAGCAUGGGUAAGCUAGGUAUCAAGGAGAAUUAAAGAAAUUUUAACUUACCUAGCUUGUUUCCUUGAUUUCUUCACUUUUUCUUUGAAUUUCCACCUAGGUUUUCUUGUUUUUCCUUUUGUUCUUCCUUUUUUCUUGUUGCUGGAUGCCUAGGCCGAAUAUGGUGAGGGAAUUGGGGAUUUAAUGGGCUGAUUUCUAUAGAAAAUAAUAAAAUAAUCAAGCAUGCCAUGUGUCACAUGCUUAUUGGCCCAAUUUUUUAACUUUUUGACUUUUUCUUCUUAAUUUUCCACCACAAAUAUUCUGGUAUUUAUCCAAUCCUACCACAAUUAAAAUCCCUUGGUCUUGACAAGUGCUGGGGUGAAAAAUUUACCGAUUUGCCCCUGGGGUGAAAAAAUUACUAUUUUGCCCUUUUACUCCGAAAUGUACCGGAAUCUCAUUAUUUCUACUUUUCAACCUAAAAUAACACUAAUAUUGAUCAAUAUUAACCAAAUAGGGCAAAAAUUGUUAAAAAAAAUUUUCGUUUAGUCCUUUAGUGGCAAAAUUACCAUUUUGCCCUUGUGCUCCAUAAAUACCGAGAAUCACAAUUUUUCACUGCUAAACAUCAUUUUAUACUCCAAUAAUCAUAAUUAUAUUUCAUAUAAUUAUUCUUGGUCAAAUGUGAUCAAAUCUUGGCUAAAAAUCUCAAUUUUAUCAUCAAAUGGUAAAAUGACCGUUUUGUCCCUAAUUGGUCAAUUUUCUGAUGGACUCCAAACUGGACCUUGAACUCCAAAUCACUAUUCUAAGUCAUUCUGUGGGUUUUAAAAUUUUCAAAUUCCUCUUAGAAUUUCUAUUUGAACUAGUUCAAGGCUCGAUUUAACUUAGUUGUACCACUCGGUACAAUACCGUCUUUUAAUCGAGCUUGACAGGGUCUCACAUUCUCCCCCACUAAUAAAAAUUCGGUCCCCGAAUUUAAAUUCAAUGUAGAGUGGCUUACCUUUACAUAUCGAAGAGGUGUGGAUGCUUUGUCCACAUCUCAUCCUCAGCUUCCCACAUUACCUCCUUGCUAGUGUGAUUCCGCCACAACACUUUCACUGAGGCUACAUCCUUUGAACGGAGCUUUUUAACUUGCCUAUCAAGGAUAGCUACCGGUUGUUCCUCAUAGGUUAGAUCAUCUUGCAACUGAAUGGUUUCAUACUGUAUUACAUGUGAUGGAUUUGGGUUAUACUUCCUAAACAUGGACACAUGAAACACGGGAUGAAUAUUCGAAAGGUCUGGUGGUAAUGCCAAACAAUAAGCCACCGCUCCAACCUUUUCUAAGAUCUCGAAUGGCCCUAUAUACCGAGGACUUAACUUCCCUUUCUUGCCAAACCUCAUUACCCCUUUAGUUGGUGAAACUUUCAAAAAUACAUGAUCUUCUACUUGGAACUCCAAGUCUCUCCGUCGGUUAUCAGCAUAUGAUUUCUGUCUACUUUGUGCUGUUAACAUCCUCUGACGGAUCAUGCGUAUUUUCUCGGUUGCAUCCUGCACCAAUUCAGGCUCUAAAAGUUUCCUUUCUCCCACCUCUAGCCAUCCAAUGGGUGACCUACAUUUUCGUCCAUAUAAUGCCUCAAAUGGUGCCAUUUGGAUGCUAGUUUGGAAACCAUUGUUGUAGGCAAACUCCACUAAGGGUAGAUAUUGAUCCCACUUGACACCAAGGUCUAUCACACAAGGUCUCAACAUAUCCUCCAAUGUCUGUAUGGUCAGUUCAGACUGUCCAUCAGUCUGAGGGUGGAAAGCUGUGCUAAAUCCAACUUAGUGCCUAAUGCUUCCUGCAACUUUCCCCGAAACCUACUAGUAAACUGAGCUCCUCUGUCAAAUACUAUAAAAAUGGAAAUACCAUGCAGUCGUACUAUCUCAUCCGCAUAAACUCGAGCGUAUUAGGCAGCCCCGUAAGUAGUCUUAACCGGAAGAAAAUGAGCUGACUUUGUUAACCGGUCUACUACUAUCCAAAUUGAAUUAUAUCCCUCAUUGGUUCGAGGUAAACCCAUUACAAAGUCCAUAGCAAUAUGUUCCCACUUCCACUCGGGUACUGGUAAUGGCUGUAGUAGCCCUGAAGGCUUUUGAUGCUCAACCUUAACCUGCUGACAAACCAGGCACUUGGAGACAAACUCAACUACAUCUCUCUUAAGUCCUUCCCACCAAUACACCUCUUUCAAAUCUUGAUACAUCUUUGUAGCCCCUGGAUGUACCACAUAAGCUGCCAUGUGAGCUUCCUCCAAUAUUUCUCUCCUCAACCCGUCACUAUCAGGCACAUAAAGUCUGGUUCCAUACCUCAACACUCCAUCUGUGCCUUUGGUAUACAUUUUUCCUUUCCUUCCCUGAGGAUCCUCUAAGGCCUUAGCCACAAACUCAUUUUUACUUUGUGCUUCUUUGAUUCGGUCCAUUAAGAUAUGCCUUACUCUAAAAUGUGCUAGCAAUGCAUCUAUCUCUGCAACUUCCAAAUGCACACCUAUGUCUCCCAAGCUAUGGAUCUCUUUAAACAAUGAUCUUUUAUCAGUAGAAAUUUAUGCCAAGCUUCCCAUUGAUUUUCGACUCAAGGCAUCCGCCAUUACAUUGGCCUUACCGGGAUGGUAAAGAAUAGUACAAUCAUAAUCCUUUAGCAACUCCAUCCAUUUACGUUGCCGCAAGUUAACAUCCCUCUGCUGAAAUAUAUACUUCAGACUUUUGUGGUCAGUGUAUAUCUCGCAAGUCUCACCAUACAAAUAAUGUCUCCAAAUUUUCAAGGCAAACACGAUUGUUGCCAUUUCCAAAUCGUGUAUGGGGUAAUUCUGCUCAUGCCUUUUAAGUUGCCUAGAUGCAUAUGCAAUCACCUUCCCAUGUUGCAUUAAUACAAAUCUUAAACCAACCCCCGAUGCAUCACAAAACACCGUAUAACCCCCCGUGCCUUGUGGUAGGCUUAACACUGGAGCUGUGGUGAGACAUGCCUUAAGCUUCUCAAAGCUAUUCUCACAAGCAUCAUACCACUCAAAUUUUGUAUCCUUACGUGUCAGCUUAGUCAGGAGGGCGACUAUUUUGGAGAAGUCCUUCACAAAGCGACGAUAAUAGCCAACCAAACCCACAAAGCUUCUAAUCUCCGUAACUAAUGUUGGCCUUGGCCAUUUUUCCACUGCUUUAAUUUUCUUUGAAUCAACUCGUAUCCCAUCCUUAGAUACCACAUGCCUCAAGAAUGCAACACUUUCGAGCCAAAACUCACACUUGGAGAACUUGGCAUACAAUUGAUGUUCUCUCAAAAUUUAGAGCAUUAUCUUAAGAUGCUGCUCAUGCUCGUCUCAGCUCUUCGAAUAUAUCAAGAUGUCAUCAAUAAACACCACCACGAACUUAUCCAAAUAAGGCUUGAACACUCGGUUCAUCAAAUCCAUAAAGGCUGCAGGAGCAUUCGUGAGCCCAAAUGACAUCACCAAGAACUCAUAGUGCCCAUAUCUUGUUCGAAAUGCGGUCUUGGGUAUAUCUUCAUUUCGGAUUCUCAAUUGAUGGUACCCAGAUCGUAGAUCUAUCUUAAAGAAAAAUUGUGCUCCUUGUAGUUGAUCAAAUAAAUCAUCUAUCCUUGGGAGAGGAUACUUAUUCUUCACCGUCACUUUAUUAAGCUGUCAAUAAUCAAUGCACAGCCUAAGUGACCCAUCUUUCUUCUUUACAAAUAACACCGAUGCUCCCCAUGGGGAUACACUAGGACGGAUGAAGCCUUUAUCCAACAAAUCCUCUAAUUGAUCCUUAAGCUCUUUAAGCUCUACCGGUGCCAUUCUAUAUAGGGGUAUGGAUAUAGGUCUAGUGUCGGGAAUUAAAUCUAUGCAAAAUUCAAUCUCCCGCUCAGGAGGUAAACCUGGUAGCUCCUCGGGAAAUACAUCCACGAACUCCUUCACCACUGACACUUGACUUACAUUUCUAACCUUCGCUUUAGUAUCUCUUACCACGGCCAAGUAACCUAUACAACCCUGUCGUAAUAAUCUUCUAGCAGAAAUGACCGAUAUCAAAUUGGUUGAAGCAUUACUCUUAUCCCCCUAAAUACUAAAUGAUGGUUCACCGGGAAAAUCAAAUCUAACCAAUUUAUGAUAACAGUCCACACUAGCAUGACAGGGUGAUAACCAAUCCAUCCCCAAGAUCACAUCAAAGUCUAAGGUGUCUAACACCACCAAAUUCACCAAAGUGUCCUUGUCCUUGACUCGUACUACACAGGACUCGUAUUCCCAUUCAGCCACAAAUAUCUCCUUUAAAGAAGUAGACACCACUAAUUGUUCCUCUCUCCUAACACGAUCUCUACCCAACAAGAUGCAAAACAUGGAGAGAUAAAAGAAUGGGUAGCACCAGGAUCAAAUAAGACUCGAACAUUCAUAUCACAAACUGAAAGAAUACUUGAGACCACGGCAUUGGAUGUCUGGGCUUCUUGUUGUGUUAAAGCAAACAUCUUCGCCUGGCCUCUACCAACAGAACUUUAAUGUCCAGACCCAGAUGGCCUACCCUGAGAGGAAGUACCAGCACCUCUACCUCUCAAUCCACUAGCCUCCCGGCCAGAUGAGGCAGCAACUGAAGGAGCAGACGAAGCUAGUUGGGUGGAACCACGUGUCGAAUCUUGUGAUUGAUGAGCCAUCGGACAAUUCCUUCUAAUGUGCCCGAGUUGGCCACACCCAUAACAAACUACCGCAGUACAUAAGCAUCGUCCACUAUGUCUCAUCCCACAAGUAUUACAAGGGUGGAUAACUUGACUACUUUGUCUCGAAUCAUGUUGCCUUCUAGCAUUGAAAGUUCUUUGUCCCGUCCCAACACUAGCACUAGGCAGGUCACUCCUUUGCUGGGAUAAUCGUGAAUCCCUCUGUGGACCCUGAUGGUUAGAAGAUGAACCACCACUGUUGAAAUCUCUACGGCCCUGAUAACCCUCUGUCCUAGCCUUCUUUGCUCUAUCCCUCGCUGCCCUACUCUCACUGGUCCUCAUUUCAAUGCGCUGAGCAUAAUCUACUACUGCAGAAUAGGUAGUGAAAUCUCGAGAUGCCACAACCUUAAAUAGUGGCUCUACUAACCCAUCCACAAACCUUUGAAUCUUCAUCUCCUCAGUAGAAAUAAGGUAGGGAGCAUACCGAGACAACUGUGUGAACUUGAUGUCAUACUCCAACACCGUCAUACUCGAAGUCUGUACCAAAGUCUCAAACUCCCUAGCUCUAGCAUUAAGUACACUGAGUGGUAGAAACCGAUCCAAGAAGGCUGCACUAAACUCACUCUAAGCCAAUGGCGCUGCAUCUGUCGGUCUACAUCUACACAAAGAGCUAUACCACUCCUGCGCCACAUCCUCUAAUUGGAAAGCGGCUAACUCAACUGACCGAACACUAGAGCAUCCCAAAGCUUUACAUAUCUUCUCUAUCUUAUCCAAGAAAUCUGGGGUUUCUCUGAUGCAUCAGACCCUGAAAAUGAUGGAUGCUUAAGCUUUAGGAAAUCGGGAAGAGAAAUCUCUAAGUGACCCCUCUCAACCUCACGAUAUUGGCGAUCAACGUGUCCUUGGGAGCUAGGAGAUUCUUGUACUGUAGGUCUCCCCUCUACUACCCUCUGUAUAUCCUCCAUACAGGUCACCAUCAUCUCUACGACCCGGUUAACUCCCUGUAGGCCUGCCGCCAAAUCCUCAAUAGUAAUACCCCCAGCUGGGUGUCUAUCUACAUCACCUAAGGACUGUCCCUCCUCUUGCUUACUCGCAGGCGUAUCCGACCUCACCAGCCUAAUGGCCCUGCCAUGUCUACCUCAACCUCUCCAGGUGGAUGCCCGUGGCCUAUCUGCCAUCUCAAUAAGAGCAUCUUGCUCCUCAUUCGUCUUGAGGCGACUCGUUUUUUAGGUGGUAUUCUUACCUAGACAAGAGCAAACACCUGAUAUUAAACACAUCUUAUAAUCAUACUUAAGGCUAAAGGUGGUUUCUAACAUAGGGAAUCUAUGCAAUCAUUGGGUUGUAAAAUGUGCCGCAGUUCACACUUUAUAACUGAAGUUCCCACAUAAAGACCCGACUCUCUGCUGGACCAACAAAAGGAAGUUAUAGGACCUAGACAAACCUAGGAAUCUGAUACCAACAUUGUCACGACCCAAAUUCCAGGCCAUGACCAGCGCAAGGGUCCAAUGGACGUAAUCCACUAAACCCAAGCAAACCUAUUAUUUAUCUUACUUAUAAUUCCAUCUAAUAUCACUAACUCAUAUUUUAUAACUUUAAAUCAAAAUAGUGAUAUACAUUGCCAACUCGUACUGGCAUUACUUCUUAAAAAUUUACAUACAAUGUCUACAACAUGUAUUCUAAUAAUUUACAUUAAGUUCGUCUAUACAAAACAAAAUAACACUCAACUUCCAGCGGAGUGACUCAGAUGAAUAUACAGCUACCGAAUGCCGAGACACCUAUCAAAAGAUGGACACAGGUCUACAAAGACACCUCGUCCUAGUUAUCGGCUGCAUCGUGAUCUGAAAACAUGAAUUUGAAAAUGGUGAGUAUAAACCCAGUGAGUGAUCAAGGAAGGGAACAAGCAACAACAACAAGGGAGAAUUUAAAAUCAUGAUGCACUUGUUUCAAAACAAUGCAAUUUAGUUCCAUUCAUAUUAAAAACCCCUCAUUUUAAACUUAACUCAUUUUGUCCUAAAUGUUAAAAGUCCAUGCUCAGAUAUGGUAGCAAAGAAGUGAAAAAUAGGGCAGCAAUUGGACAAGAUAGGAGACAAAACAAAAAGUUUUUUGCUACAGCGAAAUUGUUACCCAAAAACAAAAAGUUUUUUGCUAUAGCGAGAACCAGUUCUGGUGAAAGGUCCUCAAACCCGAGAGUUUCUCGCUACAACGAGUAUGAAUUUCGCUGCAGCGAAAACAGAGCAACAAGAGAAACAUUUUUCCUCACUCAACAAAAAACCAUCCUGCUAAACUAACAAAAUCAACAUAAAACUCAUGAACAUUCUCAAAGUACAAUGUGUCAAAUUUCACAUAUAUGUUAACCAUAUAUCACAUUCAUGAGCUUUCAUUUUAUAAAUCUAGAUAUGCAUAAUUACAUAGAUAAACAUCGAUAUCAUCAUAAUCACUCCCGGCUCAUGUACAUCCCCCCACAUCGUGCACAUAGCCGACACCAUCAUGUGCAUCCCCCCACAUCGUGCACAAUCAGUGCUAUCGUGUACAUCCCCCCACAUCGUGCACACGGGCACUAUCAUCAUCUAUCUCUCACGCCACCACCAUCACCGACAUGUGCAUUCUCCACCUCGUGCACACACACGGUUACAGUCAUUAUAUACAAUAUCAUUCAUCAUGCACAACACACACANNNNNNNNNNNNNNNNNNNNNNNNNNNNNNNNNNNNNNNNNNNNNNNNNNNNNNNNNNNNNNNNNNNNNNNNNNNNNNNNNNNNNNNNNNNNNNNNNNNNNNNNNNNNNNNNNNNNNNNNNNNNNNNNNNNNNNNNNNNNNNNNNNNNNNNNNNNNNNNNNNNNNNNNNNNNNNNNNNNNNNNNNNNNNNNNNNNNNNNNNNNNNNNNNNNNNNNNNNNNNNNNNNNNNNNNNNNNNNNNNNNNNNNNNNNNNNNNNNNNNNNNNNNNNNNNNNNNNNNNNNNNNNNNNNNNNNNNNNNNNNNNNNNNNNNNNNNNNNNNNNNNNNNNNNNNNNNNNNNNNNNNNNNNNNNNNNNNNNNNNNNNNNNNNNNNNNNNNNNNNNNNNNNNNNNNNNNNNNNNNNNNNNNNNNNNNNNNNNNNNNNNNNNNNNNNNNNNNNNNNNNNNNNNNNNNNNNNNNNNNNNNNNNNNNNNNNNNNNNNNNNNNNNNNNNNNNNNNNNNNNNNNNNNNNNNNNNNNNNNNNNNNNNNNNNNNNNNNNNNNNNNNNNNNNNNNNNNNNNNNNNNNNNNNNNNNNNNNNNNNNNNNNNNNNNNNNNNNNNNNNNNNNNNNNNNNNNNNGCCAUUUUCCUUGAAAUAAAAACAAUCCCCCAUUGAUAUUCAGCCCUCAUGGUUCGACCAACAAGGAACCCUAGAGAAAUUGAAUAUUUCUUUUGUGUUUUUGUUCAUAACCAUGCUUAACUAUCCCUAAACACUAACAUAGUCUAAAAUCAAAUUAUUCCUAUCACACAAUCCUCUUCAUACCCAUUUUUCAGAAUUGAAUUCAUCAUGAUAACUCAAUAUUCAACCAUGGAAAUCAAGAACAAAAGCAUGGGUAAGCUAGGUAUCAAGGAGAAUUAAAGAAAUUCUAACUUACCUAGCUUGUUUCCUUGAUUUCUUCACUUUUUCUUUGAAUUUCCACCUAGGUUUUCUUGUUUUCCCCUUUGUUCUUGUUGCUGGUUGCCUAGGCCAAAUAUGGUGAGAGAAUUGGGGAUUUAAUGGGCUGAUUCUAAAAAAAAUAAUAAAAUAAUCAAGCAUGCCAUGUGUCACAUGCUUAUUGGCCCAAUUUUUAACUUUUUAACUUUUUCUUCUUAAUUUUCCACCACAAAUAUUCUGGUAUUUAUCCAAUCCUACUGCAAUUAAAAUCCCUUGGUCUUGACAAGUGCUGGGGUGAAAAAUUUAUCGAUUUGCCCCCGGAGUGAAAAAAUUAUGAUUUUGCUCCUAUACUCUGAAAUGUACCGGAAUCACAUUAUUUCUACUUUUCAACCUCAAAUAACACUAAUAUUGAUCAAUAUUAACCAAACGGGGCAAAAAUCGUUUUAUAAAAAUUCUCGUUUAGUCCUCUAGUGGCAAAAUUACCAUUUUACCCUUGUGCUCCAAAAAUAUCGAUUUAACUUAGUUAAAGGCUCGAUUUAACUUAGUUGUACCACUCGGUACAAUACUGUCUUUUAAUCGAGCUUGACAAGGUCUCACAAUUAAAAAGUUACGUACGCAUAAAUAUGUUUUUAUUUUAAAAAUAUAGCCGUUCCUUGGCGUUGGUCGAGUUUCCCCUCACGUGGUGGUUUGGCAUGAAGUGAACUCUAAAAGUUAUACCUCGGGAGUUACCCUACUCAACUCUUUAACCGAGGUAAAAUAUAACAGGGUUUACCAUACCCCUCUAAUAGGCUAGUCCACGGAACCCGCCUACUAUAGUAAGCUAAUAAUUAUCCCACCAAUCAAUAAAAUUCAAUAACAUGAUAUGACAAUUAUUGUAAUUCACAGUCUUUCAAGGCUAAAUACACAUUUCACAUAUUUCAACACAAAUAUCAAUUCAGCCAUUCAUGCAAAUAUUGUCAUAAGCCAUUCGAUUCAAAUCAUAAAUUUUACAACAUAACAAGUGGUCUCCAAUUACUCUAUUUUUCAAAAUCAUUAUUCAAUUUCAAGAUAAUUUAUAAAAUCUUUUCAUGUAAACACAUUUUGUUUGUAAAAUACAAAGAUUUACCAUUUGUACUCCUUUUCAUAAAAUUUCACCAAAAUCGAAUAAAAACAUACUUUAGAUAAUUAAAAUGAUAGUAAGGUUACUCAUAGUACUAGGAGUUCGAUAUACUCCUAUUCUCGAUCUUCGGGCACAAUCUCUUUACCCUUGUUAGAGGGCUCACCACCUAUACAUCAUACGUGACAUGGAUUUCAAUAAAUUGUGUCAAUUUAUCAUAAACUAUUUCAGGCUCUCUAAAUCUAAAUGAAUGCAUGCGAUAGGAUGCAAAAUGUCAGAUAAUCACUUAAAUGUGAUAUUCGACCUAAGUCACACUAUACUCGGUCCAAUCGGCUAAAAUCUCCAAUUUAACUCCAAAUCAAUUCUUCUCACUUUCUACACUCCAAUUAUACCUAAAUUACCUUAGUAACUGUGAAUGAGAUUCAAUUUAUUAGUCCCGGGUCAAUAAUCACACUUGUUUAUACAUUGAGCAAAAAUUCAGAUUUUCACACCAAAAUUUCCUAUUUAAUUUCUAGUCUCAUCAAACAUCAAAUAUCACCAAAAUAUCAUAAAAUAUCAUCAAUUUCAGUCACAAUAUCCUCCCUAGGAAAUUCGGCCAUUGAUGGUUGAUGGGGAAAAUGAAUUCUUUUCUUAUUGUUUUAUUUCUAGACAUGAUAAACUAACUAAAAACACUAACAUAACUUAGAAUCAAAUCAAUCCAACUUCAUUCUCUCUCCAUACCCAUUCCAACUAGCCAUGGAUUCACCAUGAAAACAUGAAAUCUAACCAUGGAAAAUGAAAAAGAAAGCAUGGGUAGUGUAAAUCACAAGUCAAAAUCAAGAAAUUUUACCUUUAUUAGCUUAAUCCCUUGAAAUCCCACACUUUUUCUUCAAUUUUCUCACCUAGGAUUCUUGUUUUUUUCCUUUCCUCCUUUGUUGUUCUUUGGCCG
rnacentral:lncRNA from 1 species